UCGGCUGUCACUUACAGAUGGACCCGCGGCGCAUUAGCUAGUUGGUGAGGUAACGGCUCACCAAGGCGACGAUGCGUAGCCGACCUGAGAGGGUGAUCGGCCACACUGGGACUGAGACACGGCCCAGACUCCUACGGGAGGCAGCAGUAGGGAAUCUUCCGCAAUGGACGAAAGUCUGACGGAGCAACGCCGCGUGAGUGAUGAAGGUUUUCGGAUCGUAAAGCUCUGUUGUUAGGGAAGAACAAGUGCAAGAGUAACUGCUUGCACCUUGACGGUACCUAACCAGAAAGCCACGGCUAACUACGUGCCAGCAGCCGCGGUAAUACGUAGGUGGCAAGCGUUGUCCGGAAUUAUUGGGCGUAAAGGGCUCGCAGGCGGUUUCUUAAGUCUGAUGUGAAAGCCCCCGGCUCAACCGGGGAGGGUCAUUGGAAACUGGGAAACUUGAGUGCAGAAGAGGAGA
rnacentral:rRNA from 1 species